AAAUAAUUUGUUUUUGUAAUCUGAAGAACAUUCCUUCAAUCCCUGUUCGUACAAUUAUAGAACAGAAGUGGCAUGAUUGCCAUCUUUUAUGGCGUCAUUUUCAAAAACUGAAGUUUAUGGGUUCGAUCCCAGUCUGUACCUGGUUUAAGAAUUGCUGCUAUCAUUUCCUUGUAGUUUCAAUGGAGUGGUGUAUAUAAAAAGUACAUUGUAUUGAUAUUGCAUUUUAUCUGCAAAUGAAAUGGGAUGGAAGCUCAGAGGGGGAGUGCAUGCAAAAUAUGGAUGAGGUCCUCGGUUCAAUCCCAAGAUUCUCCACUGAGUUUAUUUGUGUGCCAAAUUCACAUUUACACAACUACUACUUUCCUGAAUGUUGAUAUAUAAUACAGAGCGUAGAGUGGCAUGGUGGCCAAGUGGUAAGGCGUUGGUCUUGUAAACCGAAGAUCAUGGGUUCAAAUCCCUUCUGUGCCUUUAUGAAAGACAUCUGAUAUCAUGGACCUGUGCAUUACUUGGAGGACUUUGCAGAAAAUCAAGUUGUAUCAAUAUUGCAACUCAGCUAUUAUAGUAAGGGGAUGAAUCUCUAUGCUAGAGCCAGUACUUUACAUGAAUGCGGUCCAACGUUAAUCCCCAACUUCUCUGUUGAGUGUAAUUAGUUGUUAAAUUAGCUUUUGCACAACUCCCACUUUCCAGAAUGUUGACAUUCUAAGAAGGAAAUAGAUAUGCUAAAUCAUCUGUUUCUGUAAACUGAAGCACAUGGGUUCAUCCUUGUUUGACGUUUAUGGAAGAUAGCUGAUAUUAUGGAAAUGUACUUUCAUUAGAACAGUGUAAAGAAAAGGUAAAUUGUAUUGAUAUGACCGCUGCGACCUGUAUGCUCUAGUCGGCUGGCCCUCGCUACCUAUUCGUCACCAGACCCACUGGCUCCAGGUCAUCUAUAAGUCUAUGCUAGGUAAAGCUCCGCCUUAUCUCAACUCACUG
rnacentral:tRNA from 1 species